rnacentral:rRNA from 1 species
UUUAAGAAAAUUUUUAAAAUUUGGUUUAGUUGAACUGGAUUAGUACCCAGGUAAUCAAAAUUAAUUAAUUCGGGAGUAAAGUUUUGUUUAAACCGAAAAAAUAUUGACUGACUCUGGAUUUCUUUUUGGAAUAUGUGUAUGGAGAGCCCUCUUUUAUAGUAAAUCUUUUUUUGCACAUGUAUGAUUGUUUAGUUUUUAUUUUAUUUGUAAUGCUUUAUUUUUAGAUUAAAAACAGAUAUAUAUUUGGCUUAUGGGUUUAUUAAUC